rnacentral:rRNA from 1 species
AUUGAACGCUGGCGGCAGGCCUAACACAUGCAAGUCGAACGGUAACAGGAAGCAGCUUGCUGCUUUGCUGACGAGUGGCGGACGGGUGAGUAAUGUCUGGGAAACUGCCUGAUGGAGGGGGAUAACUACUGGAAACGGUAGCUAAUACCGCAUAACGUCGCAAGACCAAAGAGGGGGACCUUAGGGCCUCUUGCCAUCGGAUGUGCCCAGAUGGGAUUAGCUAGUAGGUGGGGUAACGGCUCACCUAGGCGACGAUCCCUAGCUGGUCUGAGAGGAUGACCAGCCACACUGGAACUGAGACACGGUCCAGACUCCUACGGGAGGCAGCAGUGGGGAAUAUUGCACAAUGGGCGCAAGCCUGAUGCAGCCAUGCCGCGUGUAUGAAGAAGGCCUUCGGGUUGUAAAGUACUUUCAGCGGGGAGGAAGGGAGUAAAGUUAAUACCUUUGC